CACGUAGGGCGCAAGCGUUGUCCGGAAUUAUUGGGCGUAAAGAGCUCGUAGGCGGUUUGUCGCGUCGACUGUGAAAACCCGAGGCUUAACCUCGGGCCUGCAGUCGAUACGGGCAGACUAGAGUUCGGUAGGGGAGACUGGAAUUCCUGGUGUAGCGGUGAAAUGCGCAGAUAUCAGGAGGAACACCGGUGGCGAAGGCGGGUCUCUGGGCCGAUACUGACGCUGAGGAGCGAAAGCGUGGGGAGCGAACAGG
rnacentral:rRNA from 1 species